rnacentral:rRNA from 1 species
AGUGAACGCUGGCGGUAGGCCUAACACAUGCAAGUCGAACGACAGCACCGUAAGAGCUUGCUCUCACGGGCGGAGCGCGGCGGAAGGGUGCGGAAUACUCCGGAAUAUACUUUUUCGUGGGGGCUAAUGUCGGGAAACUUACGCUAAUAACGCAUAUGUCCUCUGGGUGAAAGCAGGCGAUCUUCGGACCUUGUGCGAUUGUAUGAGCCGAUGUCGGCUUAGCUAGAUGGCGGGGUAAAGGCCAACCAAGGCGACGAUCCGUAGCGGGACUGAGCGGAUGAGCGACGACACUGGGACUGAGACAGAGGCCAAACUGCUACGGGAGGCAGCAGAGGGGAAUAUUGGUCAAUGGGCGGAAGCCUGUUCCAAACAUACCGCGUUGGUGAAGAAGGCCUUCGGGUUGUAAAGCCCGUGUGUUGGGGAAGAAAAGCAUCAGAUGAAUACCCCGCUGGUCUGACGGUGCCCGAAGAAUAAGCACCGGCUAACUUCGUG